UCCUACUGCACUACAUACACUGAUCCUAGUCCACUGUAAUACUGAGAGGUUUGACAGAUGUAACAGUCCACUGUAAUACUGAGAGGUAUGACAGACGAAAGAGAUACGGAUGUUUUGUAAGUCGCAUGUUGUUAAUCUGUGAUCUUUCUGACUAACUGAGCAGCCGGACACGGAGCAGAAAGACGAGAAGGACGAGGAGGAGGAGGAAGAGGAGAGCAGGCCGUCUAUGGAUCUGUUCAAAGCCAUCUUCGCCUGUUCAUCAGACGAGAAGUCUUCCUCUUCUUCAGAAGGAGAGAGUGAGGAGGAGGAGGAGGAGGAAGGUGUUCGGAGCAAGGCUGGGACCGGGCCUCAGAUAUCUAACCAGCUGAACGUCAACACAACCCGACCUGCUCUUCCUGUGUCGGCGACACCCAGCCAGCACCCAGACGUUCUGUUCAAAACGCCCAGUGGUCCUGCCCCUCCCC
rnacentral:lncRNA from 1 species